rnacentral:rRNA from 1 species
CCUACGGGAGGCAGCAGUGAGGAAUAUUGGUCAAUGGACGAGAGUCUGAACCAGCCAAGUAGCGUGAAGGAUGACUGCCCUAUGGGUUGUAAACCUCUUUUAUAUGGGAAUAAACUGUUCCACGUGUGGGAUUUUGUAUGUACCAUAUGAAUAAGGAUCGGCUAACUCCGUGCCAGCAGCCGCGGUAAUACGGAGGAUCCGAGCGUUAUCCGGAUUUAUUGGGUUUAAAGGGAGCGUAGGUGGAUUGUUAAGUCAGUUGUGAAAGUUUGCGGCUCAACCGUAAAAUUGCAGUUGAAACUGGCAGUCUUGAGUACAGUAGAGGUGGGCGGAAUGCGUGGUGUAGCGGUGAAAUGCAUAGAUAUCACGAAGAACUCCGAUUGCGAAGGCAGUUCACUGGACUGCAACUGACACUGAGGCUCGAAAGUGUGGGUAUCAAACAGGAUUAGAUACCCCUGUAGUC